GACGAACGCUGGCGGCGUGCUUAACACAUGCAAGUCGAGCGGGGACAUGGAGAAGCUUGCUUCGAAAUGUUCUAGCGGCGGACGGGUGAGUAACGCGUGAGCAACCUUUCCUCUACUGGGGAAUAACACAGGGAAACUUGUACUAAUACCGCAUGAGACCACAGAGCUGCAUGGCUUAGGGGUCAAAGAUUUAUCGGUAGAGGGUGGGCUCGCGUCUGAUUAGGUAGUUGGUGAGGUAACGGCCCACCAAGCCGACGAUCAGUAGCCGACCUGAGAGGGUGAUCGGCCACAUUGGGACUGAGACACGGCCCAAACUCCUACGGGAGGCAGCAGUGGGGAAUAUUGGGCAAUGGGGGAAACCCUGACCCAGCAACGCCGCGUGGAGGAAGAAGGUUUUCGGAUCGUAAACUCCUGUCCUCAGGGAAGAGCAGAAGACGGUACCUGAGGAGGAAGCCCCGGGCUAACUACGUG
rnacentral:rRNA from 1 species